CCUACGGGUGGCAGCAGUGAGGAAUAUUGGUCAAUGGCCGUGAGGCUGAACCAGCCAAGUCGCGUGAAGGAUGACGGCCCUAUGGGUUGUAAACUUCUUUUAUAGAGGAAUAAAGGUAUCCACGUGUGGCUGUUUGCAUGUACCCUAUGAAUAAGCAUCGGCUAACUCCGUGCCAGCAGCCGCGGUAAUACGGAGGAUGCGAGCGUUAUCCGGAUUUAUUGGGUUUAAAGGGUGCGUAGGUGGUUUUUUAAGUCAGCGGUGAAAGUUUGUGGCUCAACCGUAAAAUUGCCGUUGAUACUGGAAGACUUGAGUGUGGUUGAGGUAGGCGGAAUGCGUGGUGUAGCGGUGAAAUGCAUAGAUAUCACGCAGAACUCCGAUUGCGAAGGCAGCUUACUAAGCCACAACUGACACUGAAGCACGAAAGCGUGGGGAUCAAACAGGAUUAGAUACCCUAGUAGUC
rnacentral:rRNA from 1 species